UACGGAGGGUGCGAGCGUUAAUCGGAAUUACUGGGCGUAAAGCGUGCGCAGGCGGUUUGUUAAGCGAGAUGUGAAAGCCCCGGGCUCAACCUGGGAACCGCAUUUCGAACUGGCAAACUAGAGUCUUGUAGAGGGGGGUAGAAUUCCAGGUGUAGCGGUGAAAUGCGUAGAGAUCUGGAGGAAUACCGGUGGCGAAGGCGGCCCCCUGGACAAAGACUGACGCUCAGGCACGCAAGCGUGGGGAGCAAACAGG
rnacentral:rRNA from 1 species